GAACUUGGCUGGGACACUAAGAACUGCUAAUUACUUAGUUCCGUGGUUCAAUUCCACGGCUUGUUCG
rnacentral:tRNA from 1 species